rnacentral:tRNA from 1 species
GCGCCCGUAGCUCAGCUGGAUAGAGCGCAGGCUUGCGGAGCCUGAGGUCGUAGGUUCAAUUCCUGCCGGGCGCACCA